rnacentral:tRNA from 1 species
GUGAGUGUAGCCUAGCGGUUAAGGCACCUGGUUGUGGCCCAGGAGACCGUGGGUUCGAAUCCCACCACUCACCCCU